UACGUAGGGUCCGAGCGUUGUCCGGAAUUACUGGGCGUAAAGAGCUCGUAGGUGGUUUGUCGCGUUGUUCGUGAAAACUCACAGCUUAACUGUGGGCGUGCGGGCGAUACGGGCAGACUUGAGUACUGCAGGGGAGACUGGAAUUCCUGGUGUAGCGGUGGAAUGCGCAGAUAUCCGGAGGAACACCGGUGGCGAAGGCGGGUCUCUGGGCAGUAACUGACGCUGAGGAGCGAAAGCGUGGGGAGCAAACAGG
rnacentral:rRNA from 1 species